rnacentral:tRNA from 1 species
GCCGGUGUAGCUCAGGGGUAGAGCAGCGGUUUUGUAAACCGCGGGCCGGGGGUUCAAAUCCCUCCACCGGCU